rnacentral:rRNA from 1 species
UGUGGUGGCGAUAGCAAGAAGGAUACACCUGUAACCAUGCCGAACACAGAAGUUAAGCUUCUUAGCGCCGAUUGUAGUGAAGGGUUUCCCUUUGU